UAAUGCGGGUGGCACAGAAGCGACUUGGGGAGGGCUGAGGAGGACUGGUUUUAUUUCUUUUUUCUCUUUUGUUUAGUUUUGUUUUCAGAACUAGGAUGAAGAGAGAGCCGAUAGGACCAGGGCGGCGUCCAGGUGGUUCUGGGGCCUGGAAGAGAGAGGCAGUGGUUUAAAGCAGCAGCCGCACGGACUCCCGAGUGCGUGGCCUGGCGUCCGCGCCCGGAGGGACCCGCGUGUGGCCGGGACGCCGGCGUC